rnacentral:lncRNA from 1 species
UCUUCCUGAAGCCCAGCAGGUGUGUCCUCUCCACUAGCCAACCUCCGACCUGGAAACGAUAACUGUUCCAAAUAAUAGCAAUAACAGUGCUACUAUGUGCCAGGUACUCGGAGCGCUCACAUAUUUAAUUGCCCAACUGUCUUGGGUGCUGGGCAUUAUUGAUAUUGUUCUUCUGCAGGCGAAGGAAACUGAGGCACAGAGGUUAAAUAUCUUGCAUAAAGUUACCCAAGGAAUAAAUGCAGUCCUGGGAUUUGAAUCCUAAGGCACAAAAUACUAGCCUGUUCCUGUUCAGCCUCUAGUAAUAACAAUGCUGUAUUUGAUCUAUUUUAAAAUACGCCUUUUUUUCCCCCUCAUAUCUGAAAUAAGUAUGUGAUUUCAGUUCCAGCUGAUGAAGGUCACAGUUUAACUGGCAACAAUUUUUCCACCCCUGGGGAGUGAAUCCAGGACCCUGAGGAACAGAAAGCACCUGAUCUACCACUGAGCCCAAUUGGCAACACUUUGAGUUUCUUGGUAUAUACAUGUAUCAAUUUCAAUGACGAAGGUUUACACAGACUCUGAACCUCAAAUUUAUGAAUUCAUGACAUCUCACAGCAACUCUGUAAAGUAGGACAGAAGUUAAUCCCUGUAGUGAGAACAGAGAUCAAGUCACUCCCCCUCUCCCUAAAACUGUCUUGGGUAAUAAAAGUGCAGUCGGGAUUUGAACCCAGGCAGUCUGCUUCCUGUAUCUUACAGUCUUCUAGGGAAUGAAUAGUAAGUCUUGCAAGCCCAUCUCUGAUGUGUGCUGAUAUUAUCAAGCAUAUUAACUAGACUCUGCCUGAGCUGAUUUGGAUGGAUGAGGGAGGAAAGAGCAGAGGCAGAUUUAAUGAGUGACCUUUACCCACUUCUGGGGGUAGCCCUGCACACAGGAGACCAGGCUGGACAGAUGGCCCCUGCUGGUUACUAACCUUGUGAAGCAUUGGGUAAAGCACAGGGUGGGGGGGACUGCAUCAUCUCAAUCAACCCAGCUGCUCUGAGGCAGAGUCGGUUUUAUUAUCAUCAUUUUGCAGAAGAAGAAACUGAGGAUGGGCAUUUAAUAUACACAUUGCUGUAGAGUUUUGGAUGGCGGCUAUGAGUAAAGGAGGCUGAGUGUGCAGAAGUGAAGGAAAGAUUACACAGGAACAGAGCGAUACAGCCUGUCCUUUCUCCCCAGAAGUUUCCAGGCAAGUUGGGAGGACCAGCAAGCACCUUCUGGAAGAAGGCAAAUGACUCAACCAGGAAGAGAAUGAGACCAAAGGGAGGCUGGACCACAGAGCCUCCCACUCCUGUCUGAGUUCAUCUGCGGUUUCAGCUUGAAGCCACAGCACCAAUUGUCGAAAGUGAUUUGAAAUGUAGUGUUUUUUAAGUUCUCCAAGUUUGCUUGUUUGUUCGUAACCCUUACACAUUAAGCCUGCAUAUUAUUAGGGAGCAGAAAGUAUCUGUUCAUCCCUACCUCCUCUCUUCUGAGCCUUUAUGAAAGGAAUCAGAAAGGGUUUACUGAACUUUUACACCUUAUCAGCACUCUUCAAAAGGUACACAACAGAAUUGACAGCCAGCCUUUGCCUGGACAUAAUCCACAUGGGGGUGGGAACAGGUAGGGAGCCCAAGAGACAAUAAUUGGGAAAUAGUAUCAGGAGGCAUAGAGCUUGGGUACUGGACAGAUGCGGAGGGCUGAGGGGUUCUCCAAUAGUUCCCUGGGGAGCUGGUUUCCAGCCUGGGGAUAAGGAGUCUCACUGGAAAGAAGGCACUGGAAAGAGACUCACAAGUCUAAGAAAAGGCCCCCAUGUCCAGUCCAGUCUCUGGGAUGCCUCCCAUCUUCAGCACCUCCCCAGAUUGUCCAGUUCGGUCAGUUCCAUGAAGCUAACAGGAGGGAGCUCUAUGUGCAUGCCUAAAACUAAAAGAAAGGCAAAGGUAAUGAAGCCAUUCAAAUAAGGGUAAUUUAAGCUGGUGUGGUGGCACACCCUGUAGUCCCAGCUCCUCAGAAGGCUGAGGCAGAAGGAUGGCAAGGGAAUGGCCAGCCUGGGCAACAUGA